ACAAGCCUAUGAUGGUUAGUUAUCCCUGUCUGAAAAUCUCAAUUGAGGGAAAAUAAUCUAUUCUGAGGCUUAA
ensembl:snoRNA small nucleolar RNA, C/D box 1A